rnacentral:sRNA from 1 species
CAGGUGGCAGCCAAGAGCCUCCUGGCACAGCGGCACCAGGCAGGUGGCGCCUAUUGGACCCCAGAGGACACUGUACCGAGAGGUGACACUGGAGACCUGGGAGCAUAUUGUCUCCCUGGGGCUUUUCCUUUCCAAAUCUGAUGUGAUCUCUCAGCUGGAGCAAGAAGAGGACCUGUGCAGGGCAGAGCAGGAGGCCCCCCGAGACGGAAUUUCGCUCUUGUUGCCCAGACUGGAGUGCAAUGGCACAAUCUCGGCUCACUACAACCUCCACCUCCCAGGUUCAAGUGAUUCUCCUGCCUCAGCCUCCCAAGUAGCUGGGGAUUACAGGCAUGUCCACCAUGCCCGGCUAAUUUUUUGUAUUUUUAGUGGAGACAGAGUUUCACCGUGUUAGCCAGGAUGGUCUUGAUCUCCUGACCUCAUGAUCCGCCUGCCUCAGCCUCCCAAAGUGCUGGGAUUACAGGUGUGAGCCAUCACGCCUGACCCUAAUUUUGUAUUUUUAUUAGAGGUGGGGUUUCUCCAUGCUGGUCAGGCUGG